UUGCAUCUGGGGCCAGUGAGGAUGAGAACCUCUGGGGGCAGGAGGUUCGACUCGAGCGAAGCGAGAGAACGUUGCGUCAGCAACGGCCCGCAGGGCGAGCCACGAAGUGGUGAGUCAUCCUCUAUCACCGACCA
rnacentral:sRNA from 1 species